UACGAAGGGGGCUAGCGUUGCUCGGAAUCACUGGGCGUAAAGCGCACGUAGGCGGCUUUCUAAGUCAGGGGUGAAAUCCUGGAGCUCAACUCCAGAACUGCCUUUGAUACUGGGGAGCUUGAGUCCGGGAGAGGUGAGUGGAACUCCGAGUGUAGAGGUGAAAUUCGUAGAUAUUCGGAAGAACACCAGUGGCGAAGGCGGCUCACUGGCCCGGUACUGACGCUGAGGUGCGAAAGCGUGGGGAGCGAACAGG
rnacentral:rRNA from 1 species